rnacentral:tRNA from 1 species
GCCGAAGUGCUGGAACUGGCAGACAGGCACGCUUCAGAAGCGUGUGCUCAUUACGAGCGUGUGGGUUCAAAUCCCACCUUCGGCA